UACGUAGGGUGCGAGCGUUAAUCGGAAUUACUGGGCGUAAAGCGUGCGUAGGCGGUUCGUUAAGUUCGUUGUGAAAGCCCCGGGCUCAACCUGGGAACUGCAAUGGAAACUGGCGGGCUUGAGUGUGGCAGAGGGGGGUGGGAUUCCGCGUGUAGCAGUGAAAUGCGUAGAGAUGCGGAGGAACACCGAUGGCGAAGGCAGCCCCCUGGGCCAACACUGACGCUCAGGCACGAAAGCGUGGGGAGCAAACAGG
rnacentral:rRNA from 1 species